CUAGUUAGCGGCAGACGAGGUAGUAAUAAUUAAGUAUGUACCAGAGAGUCGGGCAUAGCUAUCCGAAAGGGUAGGUAACUCCCGAUGGUCCCUACUUCGCUCAUUGCUUCGCAUGAGCUUCGUAGGGCAGGCUCUUAAGAGCUUGCCCUUCGUAGCUCGCUUGCGAAGCAGCGAGCGGAGUAGGGUAAAAAUUUAUUGCUCUCUGAACAGCUUGAUCGGUAUCAGCUAGUUGGUGAGGUAAAAGCUCACCAAGGCUAUGACGCCUAGGGGACCUGAGAGGGUGACCCCCACCGAUGGGACUGAGACACGGCCCAUACACCUACGGGUGGCUGCAGACGAGAAUAUUCCGCAAUGGACGAAAGUCUGACGGAGCGACGCCGCGUGGAGGAUGAAGUGCUUCGGCAUGUAAACUCCUUUUGCCAGGGAAAAAGUUAUUGAUGGUACCUGGAGAAUAAGAGGUUGCUAAACUCGUGCCAGCAGCAGCGGUAAUACGAGUGCCUCGAGCGUUAUCCGGAAUUAUUGGGCGUAAAGGGUGUGUAGGCGGUAGUGUUAGUCUUGUGUUAAAUCUCUUGGCUCAACCGAGAGUCUGCACGGGAAACGGCACAACUAAGAGGAUGGAAGGGGUCUCUGGAACUCAUGGUGUAGCGGUGAAAUGCGUUGAUAUCAUGGGGAACACCGAAAGCGAAGGCAAGAGACUGGUCCACUCCUGACGCUGAAACACGAAAGCGUGGGUCGCGAAUGGGAUUAGAUACCCCAGUAGUCCACGCCCUAAACGAUGAUCUCUAGAUUUGGGGAGUAUCGACCCUCUCCGAGUCGUAGCAAACGCGUUAAGAGAUCCGCCUGGGUAGUACGGCCGCAAGGUUGAAACUCAAAGGAAUAGACGGGGACUUGCACAAGCGGUGGAACAUGUGGUUCAAUUCGACGCUAAACGAAGAACCUUACCAGGGUUAGAAAUCCAUUCGAAGACUGGCAGAAACGUCAGUCGCCGCAAGGCGGAUGGACAGGUGCUGCAUGGCUGUCGUCAGUUCGUGGUUUGAACAUUCGAACCCUUCUCGAGUAAUCGAGUCGAAAAAAUCAGCUCAUAACGGUGGAGCUCGGUACAGCGUGUGAUAUCAUAUGUUGUAUGAGUAAUACCGUGGGAAGUUUGGAAGUUCCGAUGAUCUUACGCGCGCGUAAGCGCCUUUAUCUUUCCUUAACAGAAAGACAAAGAGAAAUAUUGAUUGGUUGCGUCUUGGGUGACGCAUACAUAUCCAAGUUGGGAAAAAUUCGCAUUGAGCAUUCACUGAAACAGUGUGAAUACCUAGCAUGGAAGUUUUCUAAAUUAAAGACGCUCUGUUACAGAGCAUUGCCAAGGAAUGUUAUCCAUAAGUACAAAGGUAAAUCUUAUGAGUCAUCAUUUUUCCAGUUAAGGCAAUAUUUUAGAAAAUGGAGAUCAAUAUUUUACUGUAAUGGUCAGAAAAUUUUUCCUAAGAAUCUUAUCU
rnacentral:rRNA from 1 species